AUGCACCCCCCCAUGCGCACAUGUGCACGUGUGCGCGCACACACACACACACGCACCACACACUGGAAGGAUCACAAUACUUCGAAUCACUUCACACGCAGCCCACCAGGAGGCAAAAGGGCUUCCCGCGUGGCUCUCUUGGCCCAGCCGCCCUCUCGUGCUGCGCAAUCAGCUCCGACGCCUUCACCGCCUUCACCGCGGCUGCUGAUCACCCCCGGAGAUGAGGAUGUCACCGGCUCCCUUUCAUCUCGCUGGAGAGCUGCAGAGCCUCGGGCUUCGCCGCAGGCCCAGAGCAAGCAGGCGCACUUUCCUCCGAAACUUUCCCGCGCUCUUCCCUGACUUGGCUUUCCAGCUGAGCCCUCUUUCGGCCGUGAUGCUUACAGAGCCGGCGGCAGGCGAGGGAUGGAAAACAUGGAAACCCCCCAAGAUGCCUGAUGGCUGGCUAGAAAUAAAAACCUCCAAAAGAAGAGGCCGGCCGGAGGA
rnacentral:lncRNA from 1 species